GAUGAACGCUGGCGGCGUGCCUAAUACAUGCAAGUCGAGCGAACGGACGAGAAGCUUGCUUCUCUGAUGUUAGCGGCGGACGGGUGAGUAACACGUGGAUAACCUACCUAUAAGACUGGGAUAACUUCGGGAAACCGGAGCUAAUACCGGAUAAUAUUUUGAACCGCAUGGUUCAAAAGUGAAAGACGGUCUUGCUGUCACUUAUAGAUGGAUCCGCGCUGCAUUAGCUAGUUGGUAAGGUAACGGCUUACCAAGGCAACGAUGCAUAGCCGACCUGAGAGGGUGAUCGGACACACUGGAACUGAGACACGGUCCAGACUCCUACGGGAGGCAGCAGUAGGGAAUCUUCCGCAAGGGGCGAAAGCCUGACGGAGCAACGCCGCGUGAGUGAUGAAGGUCUUCGGAUCGUAAAACUCUGUUAUUAGGGAAGAACAUAUGUGUAAGUAACUGUGCACAUCUUGACGGUACCUAAUCAGAAAGCCACGGCUAACUACGUG
rnacentral:rRNA from 1 species